rnacentral:rRNA from 1 species
AAUCCAUAGGUUAAUGAGGCGAACCGGGGGAACUGAAACAUCUAAGUACCCCGAGGAAAAGAAAUCAACCGAGAUUCCCCCAGUAGCGGCGAGCGAACGGGGAGGAGCCCAGAGCCUGAAUCAGCAUGUGUGUUAGUGGAAGCGUCUGGAAAGGCGCGCGAUACAGGGUGACAGCCCCGUACACAAAAGCGCAUGUGCUGUGAGCUCGAUGAGUAGGGCGGGACACGUGGUAUCCUGUCUGAAUAUGGGGGGACCAUCCUCCAAGGCUAAAUACUCCUGACUGACCGAUAGUGAACCAGUACCGUGAGGGAAAGGCGAAAAGAACCCCGGCGAGGGGAGUGAAAAAGAACCUGAAACCGUGUACGUACAAGCAGUGGGAGCACCCUUCGGGGUGUGACUGCGUACCUUUUGUAUAAUGGGUCAGCGACUUAUAUUCUGUAGCAAGGUUAACCGUAUAGGGGAGCCGGAGGGAAACCGAGUCUUAAUUGGGCGUUAAGUUGCAGGGUAUAGACCCGAAACCCGGUGAUCUAGCCAUGGGCAGGUUGAAGGUUGGGUAACACUAACUGGAGGACCGAACCGACUAAUGUUGAAAAAUUAGCGGAUGACCUGUGGCUGGGGGUGAAAGGCCAAUCAAACCGGGAGAUAGCUGGUUCUCCCCGAAAGCUAUUUAGGUAGCGCCUCGUGAAUUCAUCUCCGGGGGUAGAGCACUGUUUCGGCUAGGGGGCCAUCCCGGCUUACCAACCCGAUGCAAACUGCGAAUACCGGAGAAUGUUAUCACGGGAGACACACGGCGGGUGCUAACGUCCGUCGUGAAGAGGGAAACAACCCAGACCGCCAGCUAAGGUCCCAAAGUCAUGGUUAAGUGGGAAACGAUGUGGGAAGGCCCAGACAGCCAGGAUGUUGGCUUAGAAGCAGCCAUCAUUUAAAGAAAGCGUAAUAGCUCACUGGUCGAGUCGGCCUGCGCGGAAGAUGUAACGGGGCUAAACCAUGCACCGAAGCUGCGGCAGCGAACGUAUCACCCAAGACAACUUUACGGAGUUGACGAUUGACGGAGCGAAGCGACGUCAAAGCGUUCAUUAAAGUCGAGUUGGCUUAGGGAUACGUUCGUUGGGUAGGGGAGCGUUCUGUAAGCCUGUGAAGGUGUGUCGUGAGGCAUGCUGGAGGUAUCAGAAGUGCGAAUGCUGACAUAAGUAACGAUAAAGCGGGUGAAAAGCCCGCUCGCCGGAAGACCAAGGGUUCCUGUCCAACGUUAAUCGGGGCAGGGUGAGUCGACCCCUAAGGCGAGGCCGAAAGGCGUAGUCGAUGGGAAACGGGUUAAUAUUCCCGUACUUGGUGUUACUGCGAAGGGGGGACGGAGAAGGCUAUGUUGGCCGGGCGACGGUUGUCCCGGUUUAAGCGUGUAGGUGUGUGUUCCAGGUAAAUCCGGUUCACUUUAACACUGAGGCGUGACGACGAGGCACUACGG